GAGAACAGAGCAGAAAAUCUCUGCACCUGACACAUUUAUUUUCAGUUUAACUGUUGCCUCCUGGGCUAGAAGUAACCCCAGUGAAGGGCCCCAACCCAACAGACCCGGGACAGAAUUUUAGUAUCGCUCUGGGGCUGACUUGCGCCAUGACUCUCCUGUCGAAUGAGCCAGGAAUCCUUGUGCCACCCGAUUCCAGCAGGCAGUGUCCAGCCACUGGGACCCUUGGGAGACCAAAUGGGGAAAGCGGGAGUAGAGCUGGUGGAGGGAAGGAGGAUGGAGAAGAUAGAAGAGUUGGAGCAAGUGGCGAAUUUGAUACGGAGAGAGAUUCUUGCAUCUGGCUGCAUGUCAAAAGGACCUGGAGAACUUUUACAACAUAGAUCUGUAGAUCCAGGGAAGGGACCUGGCCCAUUUGAUAAUUGGAGCAGAGUAACACCCCCUUCAUUUUGUGACAAAAUUAUUUUAAUUGUAAUUA